GUAGUAUUCCCUCCGUCCCAAAAUUCUUGUCUUGCAUUUGUUUAGAUAUGGAUGUAUCUAACACUAAAAUGUAACUAGAUACAUUCGUAUUUAGACAAAUUGAAGACAAGAAUUUUGGGACGAAGGGAGUACAAA
rnacentral:pre_miRNA from 1 species